UUUGGUGUGAUGUGGAUCGCGUUGCAGAACUUUGAUGAUGCUGAUCCCAAUUUUAAUCCAUUCUGUGGGAGAUGGCCCUGUUUGGCUUUUAUAUCUAAUAUCCUAUGCUUUUUCGCGUGUUUUUGGAGCGUUUAAGGAAGCACGUGGUCUAAUUAUACCAAACCGAAACUGAGUAGGACAGCUGGUGUAGUUUCUGGAAGUUGAGAACCAGAAUCAACACUACAAAAAACUGUACAAAUUGGAUAUGCUGCUGAGAAAACGAAGAGACAUACGAAAGAGCUUCAA